AUAUAUAUACUCACACUUGCUCAAAAGCAUGCAAGUUGAAACCAAAACAAAAUGAGAGAUCAAAAUAUAACUUUUGUCGCCAUUCUUUCUCUCUUCCUAAUAUUGUUGCGUGCAAAUGGAGAGGUGCCGACACAAAACGAAUUAUGUGACCCUGAAAAAUGCAACAAGGCAUGUAUGGAUUUAAUUAAGUACAGGGGAUAUUGUGCUCCUAAUGGAUCUUGUCAAUGUAUCCCAAGAUCUGUACCUCCAAGAUCACCUAAGUCGAAUCAUCUAUCAUAGUUUUAUCUUAAUAUGAAAUUUAUCUCUAUCAUAGUUUUAGCUUAAUAUGAAAUUUAUGCUGAAAAAUAAAUUAAGGUGAUCAUGUACUCAUUAUCGAUCUUAAAGAAUUAAUAAAUGUUUUCUUUUAAAAAUA